rnacentral:rRNA from 1 species
GUUUGAUCCUGGCUCAGGAUGAACGCUGGCGGCGUGCCUAAUACAUGCAAGUCGAGCGAAUGGAUUAAGAGCUUGCUCUUAUGAAGUUAGCGGCGGACGGGUGAGUAACACGUGGGUAACCUGCCCAUAAGACUGGGAUAACUCCGGGAAACCGGGGCUAAUACCGGAUAACAUUUUGAACCGCAUGGUUCGAAAUUGAAAGGCGGCUUCGGCUGUCACUUAUGGAUGGACCCGCGUCGCAUUAGCUAGUUGGUGAGGUAACGGCUCACCAAGGCAACGAUGCGUAGCCGACCUGAGAGGGUGAUCGGCCACACUGGGACUGAGACACGGCCCAGACUCCUACGGGAGGCAGCAGUAGGGAUCUUCCGCAAGGAGAAAGUCUGACGGAGCAACGCCGCGUGAGUGAGAGGCUUUCGGGUCGUA